UACAGACCAAGUUAUUAAGAGUUAUUGGUGGAUGCCUUGGCAUUGACAGGCGAUGAAGGAUGCGUUUACCUGCAGUAAUCUUCGGCGAGCUGGUAUAAAGCUAUGACCCGGAGGUCUCCGAAUGGGGCAACCCGAUAGAUUAAUCAUCUAUCAUUGUACGCUGAAUACAUAGGCGUAUAAGGCGAUACCUGCUGAACUGAAACAUCUUAGUAAGCAGAGGAAAAUAAAUCAAAGAGAUUCCCUGAGUAGCGGCGAGCGAAAGGGGAGAAGACCAAACCACAUUUUUAAUGUGGGGUUGUAGGGUCGAUAACAUGGGAUCUUAAGUUUUAGUCGAAUACUUCUGGAAAGUAGAACGAUACAGGGUGAUAGUCCCGUAGACGAAAAAACAAGAGACUCUAUUCGAUACCUGAGUAGGGCUAGACACGUGAAACCUAGUCUGAAUCUGGGGAGACCACUCUCCAAGUCUAAAUACUAGUCAAUGACCUAUAGUGAACCAGUACUGUGAAGGAAAGGUGAAAAGAACCCUUGUUAAGGGAGUGAAAUAGAACCUGAAACCAGUAGCUUAUAAGCGGUCGAGGACCUAUAACUUCUUCGGAAGUCAUGGUUGACGGCGUGCCUUUU
rnacentral:rRNA from 1 species